GGUUUUAUUCUGGUUGCCUGCGAGUGACUUGCAGGUUGUUCGGGUUUUAUUCUGGUUGCCUGCGAGUGACUUGCAGGUUGUUCGGGUUUUAUUAUGGUUGCAUAUAACCAUUUUCUCUUUGCUUCUGAGCCGGAAAAGUUUAAAAGUCACAUUAACUGCGUAAUUUACUGGACAUUGUUUGGGUACAUUGUUGUUGUUUAGGCAGUAAAUACUGAACUAAUUAUUAUAUUAUAGUAAUAUAAUUCAUGUUAUCUGAAUCGAUUUUCUAUUUAACAAGAUAUUUGAUGGACAAAAAGUUUAAAGAAAUAUCAUACAUUUUUACCACACAAUUUUCAAAACUCAAAUAUACAGCUCACCUGAGCACAAUGUGCUUAUGGUGAGCUUUUGUGAUCGCCAUUUUGUCCAUCAUGCGGCGUCAAUAUUUGCCUUGUUAGCACUCUUAGAGGCCACAUUUAUUGUCCUAUCUUCUGAAAUUUGGUCAGAAGAUUAGUCCAAAUGGUAUCUUGGACGAGGUCGAAAAUGGUGCCAGUUGGUUUAAAAACAUGGCCACCAGGGGGUGGGGCAUUUUUCCUUGUAUGGUAAUAGUGAAACAUUGUUAAUACUCUAGAGAUUAUAUUUUUUGUCAGAUCAAUAUGAAACUUGGAUGAAGUUUUGUCCCAAUUAAAUAUGGGACUAUUUCGAAAAUGGUUACAGUUGGUGGAAAAACAUGGCUGCCAGGGGGCGGGGCUUUUUUCCUUAUAUGACUUGUCUACACUCUAAAAGUCUAAAAGUAAAAUCUUGUUAGCCAUCUUAGUCACAUUUAUAGUCUUAUCUAAAUGAAACAUGGUCAGAACAUUUGUUCUAGUGAUAUCUGCGUCUGCCCAGAACAGGUCAGAUUGUUUGUAUCUCAGGUGAGCGACUUUUGACCUUUCAGGCCCUCUCGUUUAUUAUUAGGUCAAUUUUAUUUCUCAUUUGCCAUUUAACAGAUUUUCAUAAAACUUGCCCCAUAUGAGGCAAAUGUGCAGAAGGCAAGAGGUAGUCUCCACAAAAGCUGCGUUGUGGGAAAACGGGGCUUAAUGCAUGUGCACAAGUGUCAUCCCAGAAUAGCCUGUGCAGUCUGUGCAUGGAGAACCCUUUCUGUUAAAGCAGGAUUUUUGCUAAGAGGAGACUUUCUUUAAAAUUUUAAACAAAAAAAACAAAACAAUAAAAAGCGUAUUGCACAGGCUAAUCUUGGAUGGGACUAUAUGCUGAUGCAUAAAGUCCAGUUUUCAUAGAGUGCGACUCACAAGGUCAAAGUCUCACUUGGAGGUCAAAAGGUUUACAGCAGGAUAAAGCCCCAAUACAAUUAGAUUAUUAUUUGUUACUUGAGUUAAUUUAUCACACUGAGAAUAUAAACGAGUAUCUUGUGUGUUUUUAUGUCCCCCACCACUAUAGUGGGGGACAUAUUGUUUUUGCCCUGUCUGUUGGUUUGUUUGUGUGUUUGCGUCAAACUUUAACAUUUGCCAUAACUUUUUCAAUAUUGAAGAUAGCAACUUGAUCUUUGGCAUGCAUGUGCAUCUCAUGGAGCUGCACAUUUUGAGUGGUGAAGGUCAAGGUCAUCAUUCAAGGUCAAAGGUCAAAUACAAAGUUUCAAAGCGGCGCAGUAGGGGACAUGGUGUUUCUGACAAACACAUUUCUUGUUUAUUUCAAGAAUGAUUGUAAUUUGCAUUGAAGAAUGUCAGAAGGUAUUGAAACCUCUGUGAGGUUUGCAUAUCUUUGACUUUGAUAUGGAAACAAACACAAUGCAUGUGCUAGUUUCCAUAAAAAACUUUGCUAAUUCAGAGUUAGUAUAUGUUUGCCCAUUUGUGUUCAGUAAGAACUGGUGCUUAUUAUUUUGUUGUUAUAUGUUUGAUUGCCCUUUACGAAUAAAUUUAAUAAAAGAGCUA